rnacentral:sRNA from 2 species
UUUUCGCGUUAGCGAUUGCAGCGGCAUCCUUUUUUGGACGGCUGGGCCGGCAGAAAAAGAUAGAGCGGAAAGCGCGACCCGAU